rnacentral:rRNA from 1 species
AGUGAACGCUGGCGGUAGGCCUAACACAUGCAAGUCGAACGGCAGCACAGUAAGAGCUUGCUCUUACGGGUGGCGAGUGGCGGACGGGUGAGGAAUACAUCGGAAUCUACUUUUUCGUGGGGGAUAACGUAGGGAAACUUACGCUAAUACCGCAUACGACCUACGGGUGAAAGCAGGGGAUCUUCGGACCUUGCGCGAUUGAAUGAGCCGAUGUCGGAUUAGCUAGUUGGCGGGGUAAAGGCCCACCAAGGCGACGAUCCGUAGCUGGUCUGAGAGGAUGAUCAGCCACAUUGGAACUGAGACACGGUCCAGAGUCCUACGGGAGGCAGCAGAGGGGAAUAUGAGGCAAUGGGCGCAAGCCUGGUCCAGCGAUACCGCGUGGGUGAAGACGGCGUCCGGUUUGUGAAGCCCUUUUGCUGGGAAAGAAAAGCUGCCGGUUGAUACCCAGCUGUUCUGACGGUACCCAAAGAAGAAGCACCGGCUAACUACGUG